AUUCGACGCAACGCGAAGAACCUUACCUGGGCUCGAACGGCUGCCGACGGUUCGUGGAAACAUGGACUUUCCCGCAAGGGACGCGCAGUCGAGGUGCUGCAUGGCUGUCGUCAGCUCGUGUCGUGAGAUGUUGGGUUAAGUCCCGCAACGAGCGCAACCCUUGUCCUGUGUUGCCAUGCCGAAAGGCGGAACUCUCAGGAGACCGCCAGCGAUAAGCUGGAGGAAGGUGGGGAUGACGUCAAGUCAUCAUGGCCUUUAUGUCCAGGGCUACACACGUGCUACAAUGGCCGGUACAAAGCGCUGCUAAAUCGCAAGAUGGAGCUAAUCGCAAAAAGCCGGUCUCAGUUCGGAUUGCAGGCUGCAACCCGCCUGCAUGAAGCUGGAAUCGCUAGUAAUGGCGCAUCAGCAUGGCGCCGUGAAUACGUUCCCGGGCCUUGUACACACCGCCCGUCACNUCACGAAAGUGGGUUGUACUAGAAGUCUGCGUGCUAACCCGCAAGGGGG
rnacentral:rRNA from 1 species